GCGCAGCCUGAUGAGCCAUGCCGCGUGUGUGAAGAAGGCCUUCGGGUUGUAAAGCACUUUCAGUCGUGAGGAAGGUAGUGUAGUUAAUAGCUGCAUUACUUGACGUUAGCGACAGAAGAAGCACCGGCUAACUCCGUGCCAGCAGCCGCGGUAAUACGGAGGGUGCGAGCGUUAAUCGGAAUUACUGGGCGUAAAGCGCAUGCAGGUGGUUUGUUAAGUCAGAUGUGAAAGCCCGGGGCUCAACCUCGGAAUAGCAUUUGAAACUGGCAGACUAGAGUACUGUAGAGGGGGGUAGAAUUUCAGGUGUAGCGGUGAAAUGCGUAGAGAUCUGAAGGAAUACCGGUGGCGAAGGCGGCCCCCUGGACAGAUACUGACACUCAGAUGCGAAAGCGUGGGGAGCAAACAGGAUUAGAUACCCUGGUAGUCCACGCCGUAAACGAUGUCUACUUGGAGGUUGUGGCCUUGAGCCGUGGCUUUCGGAGCUAACGCGUUAAGUAGACCGCCUGGGGAGUACGGUCGCAAGAUUAAAACUCAAAUGAAUUGACGGGGGCCCGCACAAGCGGUGGAGCAUGUGGUUUAAUUCGAUGCAACGCGAAGAACCUUACCUACUCUUGACAUCCAGAGAACUUUCCAGAGAUGGAUUGGUGCCUUCGGGAACUCUGAGACAGGUGCUGCAUGGCUGUCGUCAGCUCGUGUUGUGAAAUGUUGGGUUAAGUCCCGCAACGAGCGCAACCCUUAUCCUUGUUUGCCAGCGAGUAAUGUCGGGAACUCCAGGGAGACUGCCGGUGAUAAACCGGAGGAAGGUGGGGACGACGUCAAGUCAUCAUGGCCCUUACGAGUAGGGCUACACACGUGCUACAAUGGCGCAUACAGAGGGCAGCAAGCUAGCGAUAGUGAGCGAAUCCCAAAAAGUGCGUCGUAGUCCGGAUUGGAGUCUGCAACUCGACUCCAUGAAGUCGGAAUCGCUAGUAAUCGUGGAUCAGAAUGCCACGGUGAAUACGUUCCCGGGCCUUGUACACACCGCCCGUCACACCAUGGGAGUGGGCUGCAAAAGAAGUAGGUAGUUUAACCUUCGGGAGGACGCUUACACUUUGUGGUUCAUGACUGGGGUG
rnacentral:rRNA from 1 species